UACGUAGGGUCCGAGCGUUGUCCGGAUUUAUUGGGCGUAAAGAGCUCGUAGGCGGUUUCGUAAGUCGGAUGUGAAAACUCAGGGCUCAACCCGGAGACGCCAUCUGAUACUGCGAUGACUGGAGUCUGGUAGGGGAUCACGGAAUACCUGGUGUAGCGGUGAAAUGCGCAGAUAUCAGGUGGAACACCGAUGGCGAAGGCAGCUCGCUGGGACGGUACUGACGCUGAGGCGCGAAAGCGUGGGGAGCAAACAGG
rnacentral:rRNA from 1 species